rnacentral:rRNA from 1 species
GACGAACGCUGGCGGCGUGCUUAACACAUGCAAGUCGAACGGAAAGGCCCUGCUUUUGUGGGGUGCUCGAGUGGCGAACGGGUGAGUAACACGUGAGUAACCUGCCCUUGACUUUGGGAUAACUUCAGGAAACUGGGGCUAAUACCGGAUAGGAGCUCCUGCUGCAUGGUGGGGGUUGGAAAGUUUCGGCGGUUGGGGAUGGACUCGCGGCUUAUCAGCUUGUUGGUGGGGUAGUGGCUUACCAAGGCUUUGACGGGUAGCCGGCCUGAGAGGGUGACCGGCAACAUGGGGACUGAGAUACGGCCCAGACUCCUACGGGAGGCAGCAGUGGGGAAUAUUGCACAAUGGGCGGAAGCCUGAUGCAGCAACGCCGCGUGCGGGAUGACGGCCUUCGGGUUGUAAACCGCUUUCGCCUGUGACGAAGCGUGAGUGACGGUAAUGGGUAAAGAAGCACCGGCUAACUACGU